UGUCUCUAUCACAAUCUCUAUUAUAUAAAUAUAUGUGAUGAGUGAAGUGUUUGGCCUUUGGACGCUAUUAAUUGUGUGUGCGUUUGUUUGUUUGUUUCUAAUGAUGACAGGUAAAGGGCAGAAAAGUGGAAUCGAAAGGGCUCCACUCUGUUCCUGUUUCAGGAGCUCCGGUGAUUCUUCAAUCUGGGAUUCCAUUGCCUGAUAAGAGGACUCUGGAAUUGAUACUUGACAAGCUUCAUAAGAAAGACACUUAUGGUGUGUUUGCAGACCCUGUUGAUCCAGAAGAGCUUCCUGAUUAUCACGAUGUGAUCAAGCAUCCCAUGGACUUUGCCACUGUGAGGAAGAAGUUGGGAAAUGAAUCUUCUUAUACUACCUUAGAACAAUUUGAGUGCGCAGGCUUGAAGGGUCAACAAGUAUGGAGAAAGCUGAGGAGGUGAAGUCCAAGGUGGUUGAAAUUAAGUGGAAGGAACCACUUUGUUAAAUUUAUGCUAACAGUCUCCAGUGUAUAUAAGCAAGGGCCAAAAACCAGAGCUUAUGUAGCUGGUGUUACAUCAAUAAACUUAGCUGAAUACGUUCCUGCAGCUGUAGAUAAAGAGACUGAAAUUGUAGUUCCUUUGAAUGUCCCUGGCACCAAUGAUAUUACUAAUCUCUCACUUUUUUGGCAUAAAAUACAAAAUAUCACAACUAGUCCAUCAUUUGUUCCUGAAUUUGAGGAGAACAGUUUCACUGUAGGGAGUUGGGAGCAAAAAGAAGUCAUUAGCCGCGAUGGACAGAUGAAGCUCCAUAAAUAUAUAUUUUAUGAACAUGCCUGAAUCAUAGACAAUAGAAAUUGCCAUUGCACUUAGCAAGUAUGCAGUUGGAUUUAGAUGCAUUUGACUACCUUCCACUUGAAAGGUUUGGCCACCCAAUUUUGUGUUUUCUUUCAAGAAAAUGAGAAAUUUACUGCCUCUGCUGCAAAGUGCAAACUCUUUUUUUCCCCACCUUUUUUAAGGUUCUAUCUCCUUUCUAUACCACCAUGCAUAACUGUUUUAACUGUCUUUUUACUCAGAUACUAGGGAAAGCAUCGGGUGGAGGAGUUAUACCAGUUAGUGCAGUUCUUGCAGACAAAGAUGUGAUGCUUUGUAUACAACCGGGACAGCAUGGAAGUACCUUCGGUGGAAAUCCAAUGGCCAGUGCAGUUGCAAUUGGCUCAGUAGAAGUGAUAAAAAAUGAGAGACUCGUUAAGAGGUAUCAAAUGCAUUGCCAAAUCUUAUAUUGCCAAUACAUACUUAUUAUAAUGCAUACUUGAAUAGUUCAAUCCAAGUCUUGACAAGUAUAUUUUAUUCAUUUCAUCAAGCAUCAUCAGCAUCUGAAAUAAAAGCUUCAAAACUAAGGCCUAGGUUCUGGGAGUUAAUAUCUGUAUUAA